ACAAACUGUUGCUUGCUUGCUGCUAACUGGGGACGAGGAGAACAGAACAAACAAAACGGAGGUGCGGCUUCAACUCUUGCUUGCUUCAUUCGACUAAUCGACUUUGAGGAGACGAGGUUGGGCUGCUCUAAACGAUUAAUCGGCUUCAACUCUUCAAGAUUACGCUAUGGGGAAAAACAAAAUCAUAACUUCUUUUUUUAAAAGAAA